rnacentral:rRNA from 1 species
AUUGAACGCUGGCGGCGUGCCUAACACAUGCAAGUCGAGCGGUAACAGGUGUAGCAAUACAUGCUGACGAGCGGCGAACGGGUGAGUAAUGCUCCGGAAUCUGCCCAUGUAGUGGGGAAUAACCAGCCGAAAGGUUGGCUAAUACCGCAUACGACCUACGGUGAAAGCAGGGGAUCGCAAGACCUUGCGCUAUUGGAUGAGCCGAAGUCGGAUUAGCNGUUGGUAGGUAACGGCCUACCAAGGCGACGAUCCGUAGCUGGUCUGAGAGGACGACCAGCCACACUGGGACUGAGACACGGCCCAGACUCCUACGGGAGGCAGCAGUGGGGAAUAUUGGAC